rnacentral:rRNA from 1 species
ACAGUACUCUACGGGGAGGCAGCAGUGGGGGAAUAUUGCGCAAUGGACGAAAGUCUGACGCAGCGACGCCGCGUGAGGAUGAAGGUUUUCGGAUCGUAAACUCCUGUCAAGAGGGAAGAAACCUAUUAUGAAUAAUACUCAUAGUAAUUGACGGUACCUCUAGAGGAAGCACCGGCUAAUUCAGUGCCAGCAGCCGCGGUAAUACUGAAGGUGCAAGCGUUAAUCGGAAUCACUGGGCGUAAAGCGCUCGUAGGUGGCUUUGUAAGUCAGGUGUGAAAGCCCACCGGCUCAACCGUGGAAUUGCACUUGAUACUGCAUCGCUAGAGUAUAGGAGAGGGAAGGUGGAAUUUCUGGUGUAGGAGUGAAAUACCGUAGAGAUCAGAAGGAACACCCCGUGGCGAAGGCGACUUCCUGGACUAUUACUGACACUGAGGAGCGAAAGCGUGGGGAGCAAACAGGAUUAGAUACCCCUGGUAG